rnacentral:rRNA from 1 species
CAAGUCGAACGUGAUCCGGGGCUUGCUCCGGUGAAAGUGGCGGACGGGUGAGUAACGCGUGGGAACCUGCCCAGUGGUCGGGGAUAACUGCGGGAAACUGCAGCUAAUACCCGGUAAGCCCUAUGGGGGAAAGAUUUAUCGCCAUUGGAGGGGCCCGCGUCGGAUUAGGUAGUUGGUGGGGUAAAGGCCUACCAAGCCUACGAUCCGUAGCUGGUCUGAGAGGAUGAUCAGCCACACUGGGACUGAGAUACGGCCCAGACUCCUACGGGAGGCAGCAGUGGGGAAUAUUGGACAAUGGGCGCAAGCCUGAUCCAGCAAUGCCGCGUGAGUGAAGAAGGCCUUAGGGUUGUAAAGCUCUUUCGGCGGGGACGAUGAUGACGGUACCCGCAGAAGAAGCCCCGGCUAACUCCGUGCCAGCAGCCGCGGUAAUACGGAGGGGGCUAGCGUUGUUCGGAAUUACUGGGCGUAAAGGGCGCGUAGGCGGCGCGAUAAGUUGGGCGUGAAAGGCCCGGGCUCAACCCGGGGACUGCGCUUGAUACUGUCGCGCUGUGAGUCCGGGAGAGGAUGGCGGAAUUCCCAGUGUAGAGGUGAAAUUCGUAGAUAUUGGGAAGAACACCGGUGGCGAAGGCGGCCAUCUGGACCGGCACUGACGCUGAGGCGCGAAAGCGUGGGGAGCAAACAGGAUUAGAUACCCUGGUAGUCCACGCCGUAAACGAUGCGUGCUAGACGUUGGGGGGCUUGCCCUUCGGUGUCGUCGCUAACGCAUGAAGCACGCCGCCUGGGGAGUACGGUCGCAAGAUUAAAACUCAAAGGAAUUGACGG